UCAAUGGUGGCUCAGGCGGGGCUGACUUCGGUCAGGCCGGUAUUCUUAGAGGCCGGUAUUUCCACCCCCGUCUGGGCUACCACCCA
rnacentral:antisense_RNA from 1 species